rnacentral:tRNA from 1 species
GCAUCCGUAGCUCAGUAGGUAGAGCACUCGGCUUUUAACCGAUUGGUCCUGCGUUCGAGUCGCAGCGGAUGCA